GACGAACCGUGCGAACGUUGUUCGGAAUCACUGGGCUUAAAGGGCGCGUAGGCGGGCCGCCAAGUCCGGGGUGAAAUCCUCCAGCUCAACUGGAGAACUGCCUCGGAUACUGGAGGUCUCGAGGGAGAUAGGGGCACGCGGAACUGGUGGUGGAGCGGUGAAAUGCGUUGAUAUCACUAGGAACUCCGGUGGCGAAGGCGGCGUGCUGGAUCUUUUCUGACGCUGAGGCGCGAAAGCCAGGGGAGCAAACGGG
rnacentral:rRNA from 1 species